rnacentral:rRNA from 1 species
UUCCCGGGUCUUGUACACACCGCCCGUCACACCACGAGAGUUUGUAACACCCGAAGCCGGUGGAGUAACCUUUUAGGAGCUAGCCGUCGAAGGUGGGACAAAUGAUUGGGGUGAAGUCGUAACAAGGUAGCCGUAUCGGAAGGUGCGGCUGGAUCACCUCCUUUCUAAGGA